AUUGAACGCUGGCGGCAUGCCUUACACAUGCAAGUCGAACGGCAGCACGGGUGCUUGCACCUGGUGGCGAGUGGCGAACGGGUGAGUAAUAUAUCGGAACGUACCUUAUCGUGGGGGAUAACGCAGCGAAAGCUGCGCUAAUACCGCAUACGCCCUGAGGGGGAAAGCGGGGGACCGUAAGGCCUCGCGCGAUUAGAGCGGCCGAUAUCUGAUUAGCUAGUUGGUAGGGUAACGGCCUACCAAGGCGACGAUCAGUAGGGGAUGUGAGAGCAUGAUCCCCCACACGGGUACUGAGACACGGACCCGACUCCUACGGGAGGCAGCAGUAAGGAAUAUUGGACAAUGGUCGGAAGACUGAUCCAGCCAUGCCGCGUGAAGGAUGAAGGCGCUCAGCGUUGUAAACUUCUUUUGUACGGGAACAAAAUGCGACCUGCGGGUUGUACUGAGGGUACCGUAAGAAUAAGCACCGGCUAACUCCGUG
rnacentral:rRNA from 1 species